GAUGAACGCUGGCGGCGUGCCUAAUACAUGCAAGUCGAGCGAACGGACGAGAAGCUUGCUUCUCUGAUGUUAGCGGCGGACGGGUGAGUAACACGUGGAUAACCUACCUAUAAGACUGGGAUAACUUCGGGAAACCGGAGCUAAUACCGGAUGAUAUUUUGAACCGCAUGGUUCAAAAGUGAAAGACGGUCUUGCUGUCACUUAUAGAUGAAUCCGCGCUGCAUUAGCUAGUUGGUAAGGUAACGGCUUACCAAGGCAACGAUGCAUAGCCGACCUGAGAGGGUGAUCGGCCACACUGGAACUGAGCCACGGUCCAGACUCCUACGGGAGGGAGCAGGAGGGAAUUUUCCGCAAUGGGCGAAAGCCUGACGGAGCAACGCCGCGUGAGUGAUGAAGGUCUUCGGAUCGUAAACCUUUGUUAUUAGGGAAAAACAUAUGUGAAAGAAACUGUGAACAUCUUGACGGUACCUAAUGAAAAAGCCACGGCUAACUACGUG
rnacentral:rRNA from 1 species